UCUACUGGAGUGUAAACAUCCUACACUCUCAGCUGUGUCCUGAAGGAGCUGGGAGAGGGGUGUUUAUGCUUCUGGUGAUGGA
rnacentral:pre_miRNA from 10 species